AAGAUUAAGCCAUGCAUGUCUAAGUAUAAACAAAUUCAUACUGUGAAACUGCGAAUGGCUCAUUAAAUCAGUUAUAGUUUAUUUGAUGGUAUCUUGCUACAUGGAUAACUGUGGUAAUUCUAGAGCUAAUACAUGCUUAAAAGCCCCGACUUCUGGAAGGGGUGUAUUUAUUAGAUUCAAGACCAUCGGGUUUCGGCCCUCCUUGGUGACUCAUAAUAACUUCUCGAACCGCAU
rnacentral:rRNA from 1 species